GCCGAAGUGGCGGAACUGGCAGACGCGGCGGACUCAAAAUCCGCUGGGGCCCUACCCCGUGUGGGUUCGACUCCCACCUUCGGCACCA
rnacentral:tRNA from 1 species